UUACGCCUUGGGCUACACACACGCUACAAUGGAUGAUACAACGGGUUGCUAAGGAGCGAUCCGGCGCCAAUCCCCAAAAUCAAUCCUCAGUUCAGAUUGUAGGCUGAAACUGCCUGCAUGAAGGCGGAGUUGCUAGUAACCGCAGGUCAGCCAUACUGCGUUGAAUACGUUCCCGGGGCCUU
rnacentral:rRNA from 1 species